rnacentral:lncRNA from 1 species
GUAUUCUGCACGGACUGCUGGGCAGCACUAGCACUCUGGAGAAGGUCUGCCGCUGUCUGCACUUUCCUGGUUCUAUGCAGGCAGAUGAGUGUCACAGCUGUAACUGAGGCACAGAGCAGUACACACAGUGGAGCCGAUUUCCGCGAUGGCGAGAGGGGGCACCGGAGGUGACAACAAUAACAAGACUGUCCUUCGGACAAGUUUUAGAUUCUCAGGAUGAUGGAGUGAGUGAUGGAAUAGGUUGCCAACUGUAGUUACUCCACUCAGCACAGAAUGGCUGCGGGGAAAUAUAAUCAGACAUGCCCAAAGAAGUCUGCUUAGGGUGAAACAAAUACCUUUGAGGUUUAAAUCAGAAAGGAAGGAGAGACUGUUUCUACAGGUGUCAUACAAAAAUCAAUACUGAGCCAAGGAUUAUUGGAUCCCAUAGAACCACGGAGACUUGGUAGUGAAAUUCUUCCAAAGCAUUCCAUCCGUGCAGGCAGAUGGUGUUCCUAGGUUUGGAAAUAUAAAUCCCAUGGGAAGUCAGCUGAAGACCAUUUUAUGCAUCACUCAUCCUGUUAGAGCCCUGUGCUGUUCUGUCUCUCUAUAAGACUGGCUGAAACCACCACGGUUGUUUACAAUUUAUGCUCUAACUUUGGAUCACCUAGUUAAUACUCUAACUCCGAUUAUUACCAAAGACAAUGUUCUAUAAAAGAUAUUGUCUAUUAGAAGGAUGCUUCUGCAUUAUUAAUAAAAUCACAGGGAAAAUGCAACAUUUUGGAUGUCACAUCUGAUAAGUUGGCAGUUAAAGAACAGAAACAGCAAUAAGACUGCGUGGCUACAUUUUCCCAGUGCCACCAACUGGGAUUUAAGCUGACUAACAUUUUGAAAGCCCAGCCCAUUUCAUUCACAGCAGGAUGGCAGUGGGUGACUGAUCGUACCCGCCAGCUGGCUAAUGUCAUAAUUAACAAAGUUGCUACUACAUCUGCAAAGUUUAAUCGAAAAAUUUGCCAGUGAUAUGAUGGCCUUGUCACAGAGAUCACAAGGGACACGGAGUUGACUUUUGCUCAAGGUGGAACGACAGAGCUGUGUAGGCAAGAUGAGAAAUUGCGAACUUGUUCGGCCAAAGGAGGCUAAUAAUGAAGGGGCCGGGAAGGAGGCCAGUGCUACCAGGGUUAUCUCACAACCUCAGAUGCUGGAUAAGUCGACGGAGGCAGAAUCGCUUUGGGAUGACAUUCAGAAAGCCUGGAGUGAUUACUUGCAAGAGAAAAGCCUACCUAUUCUUUCCAAGGUGCAGGAAUAUUCCCCUGACCUGCUCAUCCAGUGGUCCAGUAAUGAAUUACUGGAGACCUGCCUUAGACAAAGAAUGCACUCGGAGCCCCAACACACCUAAAGCCAUGCUUUGAAGGAUCUGCCAAGCUCACUUUUAAUCAUGAGAAAGAAAUUACCCACACGGAGUCAGCAGAAAAUGAGAAAGUAGAGCUCGUGCUGUGAAUAAUUCCAGCAAGUGCCAAGGGGCUAGUUGAGGAAUGGCUUCAUGAGAACAUGCUCUAGGGGAACUAUUAAUAGCCCACCAGUCGGGUAGGCAGCAUUCAAUCCUUCUAUGCCUUCUUUCGCCACCUGUUGAGGUCUUUCUUCUGAAACAAAGAAGAAAUAGACAAAUCAGACUUGCCCUCUUGGAAAUGUGGUCCAGAUUUCUCUACUCCCAAGCUCCAAAAAAGAUGUUAGUCUAAAACAGCACCUUGGAUCUAAGCAGCACCUUUGAGAAAGAAAAGACUGCUUCAAGAAUGUCUAGUUGCACCUCCUUUCCGUAUGUGGCCUAAAUGCCUAGGUUGGAUCAAUAGUUUAAUUUUUUUAUUGAACUGUUUAAUAUUGACUAUGGACUUACAUUCACUUUUACUGUUUUCUGUAUAUUUACUUUUGCUUGAAGUGUUUUAAUAUUGACUAUUUACCUCUGCUCAUUUUUAUUGAUUUUCUGUAUUUUUUCAAUGAAAAUUAUAAUAAAAAUUAUUUUUGUUA